UCGGGUAGUAUAUUUGCACCAUAGACAGCAGGUGUCUUAAAGACUUAAUUUUCCGCCUUCGUCCCGAUUCAGUUGGGACUACGGUGAGACAAGCCUGCCGAGGUAAACUUGCACGAAAAACGCUCCGCGUCUCGUGUCCCGGUCGAAGUAUUACUAGUCUAGUCUGUGGCAAACACAGAUUUUUUUGUUAACGA
rfam:Candidatus Magasanikbacteria bacterium RIFCSPHIGHO2_01_FTLL_47_8 rifcsphigho2_01_scaffold_32324, whole genome shotgun sequence.